AACGCGAAGUAACCUUACCUGGGUUUGAACUUCAGUGGCAAGGCUCAGAGAUGAGUCCCUCCCUUCGGGGAUCGCUGGAGAGGUGCUGCAUGGCUGUCGUCAGCUCGUGUCGUGAGAUGUUGGGUUAAGUCCCGCAACGAGCGCAACCCUUGUCCAUAGUUACUAACGGGUUAAGCCGAGAACUCUAUGGAGACUGCCGGUGAUAAACCGGAGGAAGGUGGGGAUGACGUCAAGUCCUCAUGGCCUUUAUGUCCAGGGCUACACACGUGCUACAAUGGACGGCACAAAGAGUCGCAAAACCGCGAGGUUGAGCUAAUCUCAAAAAACCGUUCUCAGUUCGGAUUGCAGUCUGCAACUCGACUGCAUGAAGCUGGAAUCGCUAGUAAUCGCGGAUCAGCACGCCGCGGUGAAUACGUUCCCGGGUCUUGUACACACCG
rnacentral:rRNA from 1 species